UCCAGACUCCUACGGGAGGCAGCAGUGGGGGAUAUUGCACAAUGGGGGGAACCCUGAUGCAGCGACGCCGCGUGGGUGAAGGAGCGUUUCGGCGCGUAAAGCCCUCUCGGCAGGGAAGAAGGAGGACGGUACCUGACUAAGAAGCCCCGGCUAACUACGUGCCAGCAGCCGCGGUAAUACGUAGGGGGCAAGCGUUAUCCGGAUUUACUGGGUGUAAAGGGGGCGCAGACGGCAGCGCAAGCCAGGAGUGAAAGCCCGGGGCCCAACCCCGGGACUGCUCUUGGAACUGCGCGGCUGGAGUGCAGGAGGGGCAGGCGGAAUUCCUGGUGUAGCGGUGAAAUGCGUAGAUAUCAGGAGGAACACCGGUGGCGAAGGCGGCCUGCUGGACUGCGACUGACGUUGAGGCCCGAAAGCGUGGGGAGCAAACAGGAUUAGAUACCCCCGUAUC
rnacentral:rRNA from 1 species